GCCCUCUUAGCUCAAUUGGUAGAGCAUUGGUUUUGUAAACCAAAUGUUAGCGGUUCAAGUCCGCUAGAGGGCU
rnacentral:tRNA from 3 species